rnacentral:ncRNA from 1 species
AGCUGCCUGUGCACCCCGGGCAUAAUGAACCGAAGAAUUGCUGACAUCCGAGUAGGGGAAGUCCGGUGCAAGUCCGGCGCUGACCCGCAACGGUAAACCGUCGAUGCGACGGUGAGCCCGAUUACCUGCCCGGAUGUUCGCGACUCC